rnacentral:rRNA from 1 species
GAUGAACGCUGGCGGCGUGCCUAAUACAUGCAAGUCGAGCGAACGGGCGAGAAGCUUGCCUUUCUGAUGUUAGCGGCGGACGGGUGAGUAACACGUGGAUAACCUACCUAUAAGACUGGGAUAACUUCGGGAAACCGGAGCUAAUACCGGAUAAUAUUUUGAACCGCAUGGUUCAAAAGUGAAAGACGGUCUUGCUGUCACUUAUAGAUGGAUCCGCGCUGCAUUAGCUAGUUGGUAAGGUAACGGCUUACCAAGGCAACGAUGCAUAGCCGACCUGAGAGGGUGAUCGGCCACACUGGAACUGAGACACGGUCCAGACUCCUACGGGAGGCAGCAGUAGGGAAUCUUCCGCAAUGGGCGAAAGCCUGACGGAGCAACGCCGCGUGAGUGAUGAAGGUCUUCGGAUCGUAAAACUCUGUUAUUAGGGAAGAACAUAUGUGUAAGUAACUGUGCACAUCUUGACGGUACCUAAUCAGAAAGCCACGGCUAACUACGUG